ACUGUGUGGCGGCAGGCACCUGUAAUCCUAGCUACUUGGGAGGUUGAGGCAGGAGAAUCGCUUGAACCCGGGAGGCGGAGGUUGCAGUGAGCCAAGACCACACCACUGCACUCCAGCCUGGGCAACAAGAACAAAACUAUGUUUCUUUUUUUUGAGAUGGGGUCUCACUCUAUCGCCCAGGCUGGAGUGCAAUGGUGCAGUGCAGAGCUGACUGCAACCUCUGCCUCCCGGGUUCAAGUGAUUCUCCUGCCU
rnacentral:lncRNA from 10 species